AACGAACGCUGGCGGCAGGCUUAACACAUGCAAGUCGAGCGCCCCGCAAGGGGAGCGGCAGACGGGUGAGUAACGCGUGGGAAUCUACCCAUCUCUACGGAAUAACGCAUGGAAACGUGGGCUAAUACCGUAUACGUCCUUCGGGAGAAAGAUUUAUCGGAGAUGGAUGAGCCCGCGUUGGAUUAGCUAGUGGGUGGGGUAAAGGCCUACCAAGGCGACGAUCCAUAGCUGGUCUGAGAGGAUGAUCAGCCACACUGGGACUGAGACACGGCCCAGACUCCUACGGGAGGCAGCAGUGGGGAAUAUUGGACAAUGGGCGCAAGCCUGAUCCAGCCAUGCCGCGUGAGUGAUGAAGGCCCUAGGGUUGUAAAGCUCUUUCACCGGUGAAGAUAAUGACGGUAACCGGAGAAGAAGCCCCGGCUAACUUCGUGCCAGCCGCCGCAGUAAAAC
rnacentral:rRNA from 1 species